rnacentral:siRNA from 1 species
ACCCUCUGGUCGCUCACGACCA